ACAACCACAAUCUACGUACCCUCGGCACAAUCCGAUGCAAAAACUGCAAACUGGGUUCACCGUCAACCACAACUGCACCCGACAAUCCGAAACAGUUUGUACACUACUGUAAAAAUACACUCGACAUUUCAGCACGAGCGUAAAUAUAUUUUACACUAUUCUAGAUAUCCACCGCCCACAAACUGCGGCGAUACAAACAAACUACGGCUCCUAGAAGUAAAUCUAGUAGUUUGAGCAAAUGACAGUGUAGAAUCGAUAGUUUUCUCCUAAGUCAAUUCCAAGUCCAAUAUAUAUAAUUUAUCUAAAUCACUAUUAUAUGCUCCAAAUUUAGAUUUCAAUAAGCAAGCAAAUCGAUGAAUUCGAGCUAACAUAACAUGAUAUUCGAGACUAAAAAUAUACACGUUGAUAUCAACUAAAUUUAGGAGAAAAUCCAUAA
rnacentral:lncRNA from 1 species